rnacentral:rRNA from 1 species
UACGUAGGGGGCGAGCGUUGUCCGGAAUUAUUGGGCGUAAAGGGUGUGUAGGCGGCUUUGCAAGUCAGAUGUGAAAUGCCACGGCUUAACCGUGGGACUGCAUUUGAAACUGCAGGGCUUGAGUUCGGAAGAGGAAAACGGAAUUCCUAGUGUAGCGGUGAAAUGCGUAGAUAUUGGGAGGAACACCAGUGGCGAAGGCGACUUUCUGGACUGUAACUGACGCUGAGGCGCGAAAGCGUGGGGAGCAAACAGG